UACGUAGGGGGCAAGCGUUGUCCGGAUUCAUUGGGCGUAAAGAGCGUGUAGGCGGCCAGGUAGGUCGGUUGUGAAAACUGGAGGCUCAACCUUCAGAGGUCGACCGAAACCAUCUGGCUAGAGUCCGGGAGAGGAGAGUGGAAUUCCUGGUGUAGCGGUGAAAUGCGUAGAUAUCAGGAGGAACACCGGUGGCGAAGGCGCUCAUCUGGCCCAAUACUGACGCUGAAGCGCGAAAGCUAGAGGAGCAAACGGG
rnacentral:rRNA from 1 species